rnacentral:tRNA from 1 species
GGAGAGAUGGCUGAGUGGUUGAAGGCGACAGUCUUGAAAACUGUUGUACGUUAACGCGUACCGUGGGUUCGAAUCCCACUAUCUCCG